AGCAGCCGCGGUAAUUCCAGCUCCAAUAGCGUAUAUUAAAGUUGUUGCAGUUAAAAAGCUCGUAGUUGAAUUUCGGGAUCGAAUUGUUGGUCGUGCUUCGGUACGCACUGGCAUUAUCGGUUCCUACCUUCUGAAGAACCGCGAUGUCAUUAAUUUGGUGUCGUGGGGAAUCAGGACUGUUACUUUGAAAAAAUUAGAGUGUUUAAAGCAGGCUUACGCUUGAAUACAUUAGCAUGGAAUAAUGAAAUAGGACGUUUGAUUCUAUUUUGUUGGUUUCUAGGAUCGACGUAAUGAUUAAUAGGGAUAGUUGGGGGCAUUAGUAUUCAAUUGUCAGAGGUGAAAUUCUUGGAUUUAUUGAAGACUAACUACUGCGAAAGCAUUUGCCAAGGAUGUUUUCAUUAAUCAAGAACGAAAGUUAGGGGAUCGAAGACGAUCAGAUACCGUCGUAGUCUUAACCAUAAACUAUGCCGACUAGGGAUCGGAUGAUGUUAAUUUUAUAAUGACUCAUUCGGCGCCUUACGG
rnacentral:rRNA from 1 species